rnacentral:lncRNA from 1 species
AAUUUUGACACAAGGUUUAUGACCACAAAAGGACGGUUGGGAUUGAUUUUGGGAGUUUUGGUUCCAACAGUUUAGGAAUUAAGGGCCAAAAAAGGGCCCAAAUAAGCAUUAUUCUUGGUUUUCGCUCAAUAACUUUAGUAUAAGUAAAUAGAAAUCAAUGAAAUUUAAACACAAGGUUUAUGACCACAAAAGGAAGGUUGGGAUUGAUUUUUGGAGUUGAGGUCACAACAGUUUAUGAAUUAGGGGCCAAAAAGG